rnacentral:rRNA from 1 species
GCUUGAGCACGUAGGUGGGUUUGUAAGUCAGGUGUGAAAGCCUUCUGUUCAACGGGAGAAUUGCAUCUGAAACUACGAAUCUUGAGUGUAGGAGGGGAGAAUGGAACUUCUGGUGGGGCGGUGAAAUGCGUAGAUAUCAGAAGGAACGCCGGCGGCGAAAGCGAUUCUCUGGCCUAUUACUGACACUCAGUGUGCGAAAGCUAGGGGAGCAAACGGGAUUAGAUACCCCGGUAGUCCUAGCCGUAAACGAUGGGCACUAAGUAGUGGGAAUUACCGAUGUUCUCUCUGCCGUAGCUAACGCAUUAAGUGCCCCGCCUGGGGAGUACGGCCGCAAGGCUAAAACUCAAAAGAAUUGACGGGGGCUCGCACAAGCGGUGGAGCAUGUGGCUUAAUUCGAUGCAACGCGAAAAACCUUACCGGGGCUUGACAUGUUAGAAGUAGGAACCUGAAAGGGUAACGAACGGUAUCCAGUCCGUAGCUAUCACAGGUGUUGCAUGGCUGUCGUCAGCUCGUGUCGUGAGACGUUGGGUUAAGUCCCCUAACGAGCGAAACCCUUGUUUUUAGUUACCAGCGGGUUAUGCCGGGUACUCUAGAAAGACUGCCGUCGUCAAGACGGAGGAAGGUGGGGAUGACGUCAAGUCAUCAUGGCCCUUAUGCCCCGGGCUGCACACGUGCUACAAUGGUCGGUACAAACGGAAGCGAAGCCGAGAGGUGAAGCGAAUCCAAGC